rnacentral:rRNA from 1 species
UGCGUAGGUGUGAGGUAAGUCGGAUGUGAAAUCUCGGAGCUCAACUCCGAAAUGGCAUUGGAAACUACCUUGCUCGAGGGUUGGAGGGGGGACUGGAAUACUUGGUGUAGCAGUGAAAUGCGUAGAUAUCAAGUGGAACACCAGUGGCGAAGGCGAGUCCCUGGACAACUCCUGACACUGAGGCACGAAAGCUAGGGGAGCAAACA